AGCUCUGUGGUGAAGUUCACGUCAGAUUGCAAAUUUGGAGAUAUAUCCUAGUGAUGAUAUCAGAGCUU
rnacentral:tRNA from 1 species